AUUUUAAGAUAUUUCCAUAUCUCCCUCCAGAAUCCAGGCUUCCAGGAUAAUCCUUGAGCUUCCUCCCCUAAGAUCUUUCAAUCCUGGCCAGCCCAGCCUAGCCCUUCCCAGGAUGAGAGACCACAGCUUGGGGCUGCCAGGAAGGGUUGAAAGACACAGCUACUACCCAGAGAGCUAACAUAGGGUAAGUGUAUGGUGG